CCAGGCGGCGCUAUUUAAACAUCGAGGAGUGUUGAAAACUAAAACAGUAGAAGUAAAAUUUCAUCAAAAGUAGGCAUCUUCAGCAUUAUUAGAAUGAAUCGAAAAGACGAAGAUGGAGCAAAACCUCUCAAGAAGAAAAAGAAGUUAGACAAAAAAAAUGGAGACACAGGAUUCGGAGAGGAAAAUCAACCCAGUGCUGAGUACUGUUCAUGUAUGUGUAUUGUAUUAAGGAUAUACUGGUGUACAUAUUUUUGUCUUGAGAAGUGCAGCCUUUUUACAUUUAUUGCAUGA